rnacentral:lncRNA from 1 species
GACCUGGUAGCUCCUGCCAAAUGUUCAACCUCAGGGCCAUUAUUUGAUCUGUGCCUCACGUGUUUGGCGCUGUUUGACUUCCUGGAAACCUCAUGUGCAAGGAUGCAAGGUUGAAGCAGUAGCGUUUGUUAUCCUCUUGUCUGCAAACAAAGCCUCUUUUCUGUUACAGAAAUUAGGAGUAGGAAAAUCAAUGCCUUCCCCCACAGGUGAAUCAUCAAGAAAAUGUGCAAGUCUUCAAACGGUGAUGGUUCCACUCCAGGCUGGUGAAUUCCAUGAGCAAACAAAGCUCUGUUUGUAACCCAGUUAGAUAAGAAUGUUCUGGGGCAUUUUUUUUUUCUUGGUACAGGAAAUAAGAGUUGGGUGAUUCCAAUUU